rnacentral:rRNA from 1 species
UACGGAGGGUGGCGAGCGUUGUCCGGAAUCAUUGGGCGUAAAGGGCGCGUAGGUGGCCCGGUCAGCGUGCGGUGAAAGCUCGGGGCUCAACCCCGAGUCGGCCGUGCGAACUGCUGGGCUUGAGCACUGUAGAGGCAGGCGGAAUUCCGGGUGUAGGCGGUGGAAUGCGUAGAGAUCCGGAAGAACACCGGUGGCGAAGGCGGCCUGCUGGGCAGUGGCUGGACACUGAGCGCGACGAGCGUGGGGAGCAAACAGGG